UGCAAGUCGAGGGGCAUCGCGGCGUGGAGCGAUCCAUGCUGGCGGCGACCGGCGGAUGGGUGAGUAACGCGUAUCCAACCUGCCCCAGUGCCCGGGCACAGCCCCUGGAAACGGGAGUGACUCCCGGCGGCGCCGUUAUGCCGCAUGGCUUGACGGCUAAAUUUCGAGGCGAUGGGAUGGGGGUGCGUCCGAUUAGGUAGUUGGCGGGGCAACGGCCCACCAAGCCCCACGAUCGGUAGGGGUUCUGAGAGGAAGGUCCCCCACAUUGGGACUGAGACACGGCCCAAACUCCUACGGGAGGCAGCAGUGAGGAAUAUUGGUCAAUGGGCGGAAGCCUGAACCAGCCAAAGUAGCGUGGAGGAUGACGGCCCUACGGGUUGUAAACUCCUUUAGCGCGGGAAUAACAGUCGCCACGUGUGGCGUUUUGCAGGUACCGCGAGAAUAAGGACCGGCUAAUUCCGUGCCAGCAGCGGC
rnacentral:rRNA from 1 species